rnacentral:rRNA from 1 species
AUACGGAGGGUGCAAGCGUUGUUCGGAAUUAUUGGGCGUAAAGAGCAUGUAGGCGGUUCGUUAAGUCUGAUGUGAAAGCCCGGGGCUCAACCCCGGAAGUGCAUUGGAUACUGGCGAACUUGAGUACGGGAGAGGAAAGUGGAAUUUCGAGUGUAGGGGUGAAAUCCGUAGAUAUUCGAAGGAACACCAGUGGCGAAGGCGGCUUUCUGGACCGAUACUGACGCUGAGAUGCGAAAGCGUGGGGAGCAAACAGGAUUAGAUACCCUAGUAGUCC